rnacentral:rRNA from 1 species
UACGGAGGGUGCAAACGUUGCUCGGAAUCAUUGGGCGUAAAGCGCACGUAGGCGGACUGUUAAGUCGGAUGUGAAAUCCCUCAGCUUAACUGAGGAAGUGCACUCGAAACUGGCAGUCUUGAGUAUGGAAGAGGGUCGCGGAAUUCCCGGUGUAGAGGUGAAAUUCGUAGAUAUCGGGAGGAACACCAGUGGCGAAGGCGGCGACCUGGGCCAAUACUGACGCUGAGGUGCGAAAGCGUGGGGAGCGAACAGG